AUGAACCGCGCCGUCUCGAACUCUCGAGCCCGCCUCGCCGCCUUCUCCGCCUCGUCGUCACUGGCGUCGGAGGCGUGGGAUGGGCGCUUCCGGCUACACAAGCCGCGGGGCCAGCACCUCCUCACCAACCCACGCGUCCUCGACGCCAUCGCGCGCCACGCCGCGCUCCGCCCGGGCGACGCCGUACUCGAGGUCGGCCCCGGCACCGGCAACCUCACAGCCCGCCUCCUCGCCUCCCCGGCCGACCGCGUCACCGCCGUCGAGAUCGACCCGCGCAUGGUCGACGCAGUCACGGCCCGUUUCGGGGCACUCGACCUGGCGCACAAGCUCACGGUGAUCCAGGGGGACGCCAUGGAGACCGAAUUCCCAAAGUUCGACGUUUGUGUGGCUAACAUCCCCUAUGGGAUCUCCUCGCCGCUCAUCGCGAAGCUGCUGUUCGGGACGUACCACUUCCGGACAGCAACGCUCCUGCUGCAGAAGGAGUUCGCGCGGCGGCUCGUGGCCAUGCCAGGCGACUCGGAGUAUAACCGCCUGGCAGCCAACGUCCGCAUGGUAGCGGACGUGAAGCUGCUCAUGGACGUGAGCAAGAGGGACUUCGUUCCCAUGCCCAGGGUAGACUCCUCCCUCGUCGAGAUCCAGCCGAGGGGGGCUCCGCCUGAGGUCGACCUCGCCGAGUGGCUGGGCUUCACACGGGAGUGCUUCGGGCAGAAGAACAAGACCCUCGGUGCCAUCUUCAAGCAGAAAAGGAAGAUCCUGGAUCUUCUCAAGCGGUCUCAGAGAAGCGAGAGAUGCACAAGCGAUGCCCCUGGCACUGGCAGUGGCAUCAUCCUCGGUGUUCUUGAUGACGACGGUAAUGACGAAGCCUGCAGCGAUGAAGACGGCGACAGCGGCGAUCGAGCAGCUGGUUUCAGCACGGAAGAGGUCGGGGCUUUCAAGGAAAGGAUUGCCGGUGCUUUAGAGUCCACCGACCUCGCCGGGAAGAGGCCGUCCAAGAUGUCAAACGACGAGCUUCUUUAUUUGCUCAGGCUAUUCAACGAGCGAGGGAUAUGGUUUCAGUAG
rnacentral:rRNA from 1 species